GGGCGUAAUUAGGUCUAAAAUGACAUAAGAAAAUAACUGUUUUUCAACCUUCAUCAGUUAUCAAGUAAUAUAAACGGGUAAGUCCGAGUAUCGUUUUUCCAAAGAACUCUUAGGCCUUAACUUUCAUGUAAAUAAAUCGCGUAAGACAUGAGAAAAGAAUAAAUUUGGUGAUUAUAUGCAAAAAACAAAAAUAAACAUGCAAUGCAGUUGAUUCAAUCAAUUUUCAGAAACUAUGGAUGAAUGGUGUUGUUCGGGUUUUGAAUUUCAUCUUAUCCACUCUCAUAUAUCUACUAUUCUUAUUUACUUCACUUAUUUAUCUAAUUGCCAUGCAAACUUUCUAGUUUACCCUUAACCCAAUCCCUUGGUGAAAAGAGCCUAUUAUUAAUUACCGGCUUGCUAUCCUUAGCCUCCCCUAGUAACCAAUAAUGCAAUGUGAUCAAAAGAAAAUACAAUUGACUGUCCUACCCCUAUCCCUAGGUGAUAUUUCAUAAUCAAGGAAUUUCCCACCAGUUCAUGACAUUACCGUUCGUCCCCAUAUCGAUAAAGACAAACAUCUUUUACUGAAUG
rnacentral:lncRNA from 1 species